UCUUGUCUCAAAGAUUAAGCCAUGCAUGUCCAAGUACAGACGAUUAUAUCGUGAAACCGCGAACGGCUCAUUAAAUCAGCUAUAAUUCAAUUGAUUUUGAUUUACAGCUAAAUGGAUAACUGUGGUAAUUCUAGAGCUAAUACAUGCACCAAUGCUCUACCCGCUCGACGGGAAGAGUGCAUUUAUUAGAGCAAAACCAAGGCUCUUUGGGCCUAGUGAUGCUGACUCAGAAUAACUCAGCUGAUCGCACGGUCUCGCACCGGCGACGUAUCCUAUGAGUAUCUGCCUUAUCAACUUUCGAUGGUAGUGUAUUUGACAACCAUGGUGUUGACGGGUAACGGAGAAUAAGGGUUCGACUCCGGAGAAGGGGCCUGAGAAAUGGCCACUACGUCUAAGGACGGCAGCAGGCGCGAAAAUUACCCAAUCUCAGAACGAGGAGGUAGUGACAAGAAAUAAUGAGACCGAUCUCUAUGAGGCCGGUUAUCGUAAUGGGUGAAAUCUAAACACUUUUACGAAUAUCAAUGAGAGGGCAAGUCUGGUGCCAGCAGCCGCGGUAAUUCCAGCUCUCAAAAUGCAUAAAACCAUUGUUGCGGUUAAAAAGCUCGUAGUUGAAUCUGUGCUGGGACCCGGUCGGCUCUCUGAGUUCGCACUGGGCUUCCGGUGAUAACGUCGGUUUUCUCGCUGUCGCUUUAACCGGUGGCGGCGGGUGGCUGGCAUUUUUACUUUGAAUAAACCAGAUGGUUUAAACAAGGCGUUUCGCCUGAAUGUUUUUGCAUGGAAUAAUGGAACAGGACUUCGGUCUAGUUUUAUUGGUUUUAUUGACCGUAGUAAUGAUUAAAAGGAACAAACGGGGGCAUUCGUAUUGUUGCGCGAGAGGUGAAAUUCUAAGACCGUAGCAAGACGUCCUAAAGCGAAAGCAAUUGCCAAGUUUGUUUUCAUUAAUCAAGAACGAAAGUCAGAGGAUCGAAGGUGAUCAGAUACCGCCCUAGUUCUGACCGUAAA
rnacentral:rRNA from 1 species